UAGUCCACGCCGUAAACGAUCAUCACUCGCUGUUGGCGAUAUACUGUCAGCGGCCAAGCGAAAGUAUUAAGUGAUGCACCUGGGGAGUACGCCGGCAACGGUGAAACUCAAAGGAAUUGACGGGGGCCCGCACAAGCGGUGGAGCAUGUGGUUUAAUUCGAUGAUACGCGAGGAACCUUACCAGGGCUUAAAUGUAGUCUGACAGGCGUGGAAACAUGCUUUUCUUCGGACAGAUUACAAGGUGCUGCAUGGUUGUCGUCAGCUCGUGCCGUGAGGUGUCAGGUUAAGUCCUAUAACGAGCGCAACCCCUGUUGUUAGUUGCCAGCGAGUCAUGUCGGGAACUCGUAACAAGACUGCCAGUGCAAACUGUGAGGAAGGUGGGGAUGACGUCAAAUCAUCACGGCCCUUAGUCCUGGGCCACACACGUGCUACAAUGGUAGGUACAGAGAGCAGCCACUGCGCGAGCAGGANCGAAUCUAUAAAACCUA
rnacentral:rRNA from 1 species